rnacentral:rRNA from 1 species
GACGAACGCUGGCGGCGUGCUUAACACAUGCAAGUCGAACGGAAAGGCCCCUUUGGGGGUCCUCGAGUGGCGAACGGGUGAGUAACACGUGAGUAACCUGCCCUUGACUUCGGGAUAACUUCAGGAAACUGGGGCUAAUACCGGAUAGGAAUCCUUGCUGCAUGGUGGGGGUUGGAAAGCUUCGGCGGUUUUGGAUGGACUCGCGGCUUAUCAGCUUGUUGGUGGGGUAGUGGCUUACCAAGGCUUUGACGGGUAGCCGGCCUGAGAGGGCGACCGGCCACAGUGGGACUGAGAUACGGCCCAGACGCCUACGGGAGGCAGCAGUGGGGAAUAUUGCACAAUGGGCGGAAGCCUGAUGUAGCAACGCCGCGUGCGGGAUGACGGCCUUCGGGUUGUAAACCGCUUUCAGCAGGGGCGAAGCUUGUGGUGACGGUACCUGCAGAAGAAGCACCGGCUAACUACGUG